CGGCCUCAUUCUCUCCAAAGUUGAGCGUCAUCCUCUCUGAAACUCCCUGUCUAGUCUUCCUGCACACACUAGGUCCAGCUCUCAGACGCCUAUCCAUUCGGUCUCACGAUCCCCCCACCCAAUGCUUUCCGCCAAACCCGGAGGACCACUGGGACCCUUGCUCUGUGUCAUUUAUUCAGAAACUACUGCGUGCCUAUUACUUGUGCCUCCUAGUAAACGGCCGAUCCCUGUCUUCACAGAACUUGCACGCUGAUGGGGACCAUGAGAAGCGACAGCUGUCGUUGCUAUGGUAGAAGACAGGUAUGUGUGCUGGGAGUGUUCAACUGUCCUCAGGUUCUCAGGUGCAGAAGGAGGCUCCCAGAGGAAGUGACUAAGCUGAAGACCAGAAAUGCAAGUCGGAGGAAGCCAGACACAGCUGUCCACCACAUUUAUUUACUGAUUACUGUGUUUCCACUUGGGAGGGCUGAGCACCCAUUACGUCAACCAAUCUCUACGACCACGCUUUGGGGUCUCUGCUUCCUCAAUUGUGUUUGUUGCUUCCUGAUGAAGCCUGCCUAAACUCUGGACAUCCUUAGCUAAGAGCCUUAGGGUGGGAUCCAUUUCUCUAGCAAAGUCCUAGGAAGAAAAGAUGGUUUUUGUUUGUGGGGAGAAAUUACCAAGAAUUGAAUCACCCACCAGACACCAGAACACAAAAGAGGGACUUGUGGCAAACGCAUGGAUCAGAAUUAUCAGAACAGCAGCGAAUAGAGGAGCAUGAAGCAACUGAAACCCUGUCUACAGCCCUCCUUGGGACUGCUCCUCUGAGGGGUGGGGCCGCUUUCGCAACACUCAGGAACUGCUCUAGCGCUACCAGAAGAAGCCACUAGCUCCCUCUGCUGGCUACUUCAUGUUUUACACCAAGAUUCUGCAGGUAACCCGGAAAAAGUCUUCCACCUCCAUGGUGGAAGCCUUAAAGAGCCCCUGAAGAACCCUGUAGCCUGCAGAAAACUUUGAGUGCCACAGCUACCACUGAUACUUAGUGGUUAUACAGUCUGUCUCCCACAGACUACACGGCUUUGAUACAAACCUGUGGUCACCCCAGAAAGAAGAGGCCAACACUGCAGUAACUUACCCAGCUACCCACCCCAUUAGUCUCCACCCUCUUUGCACUCCUGGCUACAGUCUUAUGGUCUCAACCCACUGUGGACUUUUGGGGUAGAGAUACCUCCUGUCUCAUUUGAGACUUGGGGCAAAAGAGGGAUUUAAAACAACGUGAAAGACUGUGUGCUGACAGGUUUCAUGUCAAUUUGAUGCGAACUAGAGUCAUCUGAGGGAAGGAAUCCUUAAUUGAGAAAUUGUCUCCAUCUGGCUGUAGGCAAGCCUGUAGGGCAUUUUUUAAAUUAGUGAUUAAUGGGCGGGGGGAGGACCCGCCCGUGGACAGGUGGUCCUUGGUGUUCUAUAAGAGAGCAGGUUGAGCAAGCCAGUAAGCAGCGUUUCUCCGAGGCCUCUGCAUCAGCUUCUACCUCCCGGUUCCUGCCGUUUGAGUGCCUGUUCUGGCUUCCUCUCCGCCUAAGUUGCUUUGAUCCUGGUCACCUAAGACGGAUGGCAAAUGGCAGAGGAUGAGCAAGAGGUACAGAUCUCCCAAAGAGAAGCAAAAGACUGCUCUCAAGAGAUGGGGAGGAAAAGGGUUUGAAAUAUAUCAAUGCAUGAUUUCCUGGCUUUACAAGUUUUGCUAGUGAAAGAUCUGGUGUUGCUUGGGGGUUCUGCCUCUUGAAGGAAUCCGUACAGACUCCUACAGCCCAGUCCCAAGAGUCCUCCAAAUCCAGUUCCCGGUAAUAUUUCCCUGAGAAGAAGCUCUGUGAGCCACAGGUCGUCACAUAGCAUCCAACAGGAUACCCAGAUGGAUCCUGAUGAGGUCCAAAGCUGACUUCUCAUGACAUUACAUCUUGUAAUGGAGCUUGACUAUAUUCAAACAAAAUGUGUGCUUGAAAGGACUGGAAACUUUCAGUCAGUCCAUUGAUGGGUAAGGCCUGGAGUUCUGAUUUCAGAGCCUGGGGCAUGCUCAGCUGCAUUGACUCAUGCAUUUGGAACAUGUCGUCCAAACCCUGGAGAAGUGCCAAGUAUGGUUUCUGGGACAUUGCCAUCAGCUGCUGAUACAUUUCUUCAUUGCUCUCUAGGAGCAUCAUGGCUUCACUUUCCCUGAGUGUAUCUACAACACAUUGGCCUUCAUUUUCCAUAUACUCCAUACAUUGCUCUUCCUCUUCACUGGGGACUGGAUACCAUGUCCUGGAUACUCUGUCCUGAUCAUUUCUUCCUGCUGAGUCAAGUGUUCUGUCAACUGAGUUGCCAUUCUCCUCUCGGCCUCGAGAUUCUCCUGAUUUUCUUGGCUAUUCCCCAAAAAGAUGCCAUUUGUUUUAGAAGUCUCUCCACUUGGCCCUCAGCAGCUGCUUCAAUGGGACAGUUUGUGUGAGCGUUGUGCUCGGGGGAGUCGGAGCACAGUUGACAGAGGUAGACACAGAAGGUCGUCCUCAUCUCCUUGUGGGUCACACACUUAUGUUCCUUGGAGCUCAGGGAUUUCAUGAGGCUGGCUUGUCUGGCAAUGGACACCAGCUUCUUCAGAACAAUGGUUCUGAAGUCCUUCUGUCAGGAUGGUUCCCUACACGUAGGGCAAUGGGCAGGAAGUUGGCUUUCACGAGAAAUGGAGGCAGGCCCUACAGAAGCUGUGGCCACAGCUUAUGGUGACUGGGUCUGUGAAGUAGCUCUCACAGAUGAAGCAGGUGAGUUUGUAAGACUCCCGGAAAGCUCAGGCCUCCAGGAUCUCAGCCCAGGAUCACGUUUACCCCCAAUCACCAGGUAGAGUCGAAAGCUUGAUGUAAACUGCAUGAGGCUUUAUUGUUUAAUGAGCUAACCCCGUGUUAGCUUGGGUCUUUCAACUGGUUGCAGCCGCCAACCACCCCAGACCUCUAGUUCGAAGAGAGGGGGAAAAAAGUCAAAGGGUCACUGUGCUCUCUGGCAGUCUCUUGUGGCGGUGGCCAAGUGGCCAAAACCUAACAGUGCAAGGGGUGACUGAAGUGCAGGCAGAUUGGAAGGGCAUGGAAGCUCCUACCAUAGGAAUGACCUGAACGGUCUCGGUCUUCUCCUGCCUGUGAUGCUGGUGGGUGAGCAGAGUGGACUCUAGAGCUUGACUCGGAUCUAGUCCUAAGUGUCUACAUCCUGCCCUGUGCCUUUGGCAAGGUUGUGUGCCUGUCUAGGUCAUCUCACUUUUCCCAUCAGGACACACUCCAGGAUGGUUGUGAGUAGGUACAGAAUGGCAGGGUAAGCAUGGCAUACACCAGUCCUUGCACAGCACAGACUUGGGACGCUGAGCAGAGGGCUUAGCAAAGCAAAAAGAAAGGCACUCAUCAUGACGUAACCAUAACAAAUGACUGUACCGAACAUCUACCUUCACCACUUUUUUUUUUCUGCUUUAAAGCUUUAUUUACCACAUCCUAAGAAUGUACUCUGGAAAUGCAGCGAAAUCUAAAGCUUUUCAAAUACCAAGCUAAACACUCUGGGUGUGAUGAGAUUGUUACUAAAACAAAACCCCCAAACCAGAAACCAUGAUAGUACAUGGCAAUACCCUUAACCCUUAAUGCCAGGGAAAUACAGCAGAGAUUUUUACUUUUUGAAAUUGUGCUUUCCAGCAUCACCUUUAAAAAUAAUGCUUUAUGUAGCAUUUCAAAGCACUACAGUUUGUAUCUUUAAAUAUUGAAUAUAAUUUUAAAAAUAGUACCCUA